UUCUGAAAAGAAGACCUGUGAUCUUAAUCAUGUCCAGCAACGCAUGGCAGAGAAGAGGACAAUAGAGUCCAAAAUUAACUGAAGACUUGAGAGUCUAUGAGUCUUUGCUGAUUGAAGAGCUUCAAGCAUCCUUAUAGCUUCCUUGGCAAGGGACGAGCCUGCGCUCAACAGAAUAGAGGAGACUUGGGAGUCAUGGGCUUCACCCUUUCCAUUGAUAGAUCACUCAAAACCUCCACUUUUUAAAGUUUUGAACCACAUUCCAUUCACCGAAUCAGUCGGAAGGAUUUAAACAUGAACAGUUAGGGACCCUACAGCUACAAACUCAGAGGCAACAAAGCCUCGCUUUAUGAAGUCUGAAAGCUGUGAAGAGGACCACCACUGCCAAAUGAGUAAACCUGAAACAAUUGGAACCAAAAUCACCAAGGCAAAGGUCCAAAUAACCUCAUACAGCGGUAACAAACUGGUACACCACAGUGUAAUAUCCUCAUACUGAGGUAAAUAGAGUUUCAUAAUGAAACUCACAGAGCCUGCAACAUCCUCAAACUGAGGUAAAAAGAGCUUCAAAAAGAGCACAUCAUCCUCAUUCCAACGUAAAAGGAGACUCUUAUUAAGAUAAUUAAACCCUAACAAAAGACAAGGUUCUAAGAUAAGUGAUUUACUCCAAUAGACUGAGAAACCCAAACCUUGUGGACGCUUGAUGAGGAAUUAAAGAAAAAGAAAAAUAUCAAUUAAUAGAAGAUAUGUCUCCUAAAUAGGGGCUGGAACCGUGUCUUAGAAGACACGUGUUACCAUUGUAUGAGAAGGGAAAUCUCCUUUCUCUCUCUCUCUCUCUCUCAUCAAGCAAUCCCCUUUCUCCCUCUCUCUCAUCAAUGCAGAGGAGGCGACGAUCUACGCGACGAACCCUCGUGAGAUAGAGAGGGACAGUGAAAGGGACUCAUGUGUAGAUUAAACGGGAGCCAAAAGGUUGUGUAACAUCUCUUAUUGAACAAGGAUGCGCAAGUGUAUCUGUUGUACAUGUCAGAUACAAGACUCCAAUGAAAAGGAAAACUUGAAAUCUUCUCAGCAGCAAUCCAAUGCGGUUGCUCUGAAGAAACUUGAUGUCGCACCUAAAGCUGAAUCAGAUGAUGAGUUCUUGAGUUUUCAUGGUGUCUAGACUCAAGCAUGAGAAUCUCAUUCAACUACUUGGUUUUUGUGUUGAUGGAAACCUCCGAGUCCUGGCAUAUGAGUUUGCAGCAAUGGGAUCCUUGCAUGAUAUCUUACAUGGUAGGAAGGGAGUUCAAGGAGCACGAGCUCUUGUAUUAUUGUCUGAAUAGAACUUUUGUAUUCUUGUGUAUUAUCAGUCACAGACUUGUGUAAAGUCAUGCAAGUGUCAUGUAUCAUUUCAAAGUCCAUAGAGUUGUGUUAAAGUUUCUAUAUAACUUCACAAUACUCUUGUUCUCUCUUUAACAUAACU